rnacentral:rRNA from 1 species
AACGAACGCUGGCGGCGUGCUUAACACAUGCAAGUCGAACGCGAAAGGGACUUCGGUCCUGAGUAAAGUGGCGCACGGGUGAGUAACGCGUAGAUAACCUGUCUUCAUGUCUGGAAUAAUACGCCAAAGGGGUACUAAUACCGGAUAUCUUGCUUUUCAUAAGUUAUGCAAGCAAAGGUGGCCUCUGCAUAUGCUACUGCAUGAAGAGGGGUCUGCGUACCAUUAGCUAGUAGGUGGGGUAAUGGCCUACCUAGGCGACGAUGGUUAGCGGGUCUGAGAGGAUGAUCCGCCACACUGGCACUGGAACACGGGCCAGACUCCUACGGGAGGCAGCAGUGAGGAAUAUUGCGCAAUGGGGGAAACCCUGACGCAGCGACGCCGCGUGAGUUGAGGAAGGCCUUCGGGUCGUAAAGCUCUGUCAAGAGGAAAGAAGUGUACAAUGGCUAAUACCUGUUGUAUUUGACGGUACCUCUAAAGGAAGCACCGGCUAACUCCGUGCCAGCCGCGGC